rnacentral:rRNA from 1 species
UACGUAGGGGCCGAGCGUUGUCCGGAGUUAUUGGGCGUAAAGCGCGCGCAGGCGGCUUCGCGCGCCCGACGUGAAAGCCCCCGGCUUAACCGGGGAGAGUCGUUGGGGACGGCGGGGCUUGAAGGCGGGAGAGGUCGGUGGAAUUCCCGGUGUAGUGGUGAAAUGCGUAGAGAUCGGGAGGAACACCUGUGGCGAAGGCGGCCGACUGGGCCGACCCUGACGCUGAGGCGCGAAGGCGUGGGGAGCGAACGGG